AUUACUAAGCGGAGGAAAAGAAACCAACCAGGAUUCCCUCAGUAACGGCGAGUGAAGCGGGAAGAGCCCAGCGCCGAAUCCCCCUCGUGCGUGCGGGCGGNAACUGUGGUGUUUGGGACGUCGGNUGCGGCGCUUCGCGUUGUCCGAGUCCUCNUGAUCGGGGCCUUCCACNGCGGGUGUCAGGCCCAUGCGACNUUGGCCCCCGGCGCCUCCGGUCGUCCCCGGAGUCGGGUUGUUUGGGAAUGCAGCCCGAAGCGGGUGGUAAACUCCAUCUAAGGCUAAACACUNACGCGAGUCCGAUAGC
rnacentral:rRNA from 1 species